rnacentral:rRNA from 1 species
AGGGGCAGCAUGAACUUAGCUUGCUAAGUUUGAUGGCGACCGGCGCACGGGUGAGUAACACGUAUCCAACCUGCCGAUGACUCGGGGAUAGCCUUUCGAAAGAAAGAUUAAUACCCGAUGGCAUAGUUCUUCCGCAUGGUAGAACUAUUAAAGAAUUUCGGUCAUCGAUGGGGAUGCGUUCCAUUAGGUUGUUGGCGGGGUAACGGCCCACCAAGCCUUCGAUGGAUAGGGGUUCUGAGAGGAAGGUCCCCCACAUUGGAACUGAGACACGGUCCAAACUCCUACGGGAGGCAGCAGUGAGGAAUAUUGGUCAAUGGACGAGAGUCUGAACCAGCCAAGUAGCGUGAAGGAUGACUGCCCUAUGGGUUGUAAACUUCUUUUAUACGGGAAUAAAGUGAGGCACGCGUGCCUUUUUGUAUGUACCGUAUGAAUAAGGAUCGGCUAACUCCGUGCCAGCAGCCGCGGUAAUACGGAGGAUCCGAGCGUUAUCCGGAUUUAUUGGGUUUAAAGGGAGCGUAGGCGGACGCUUAAGUCAGUUGUGAAAGUUUGCGGCUCAACCGUAAAAUUGCAGUUGAUACUGGGUGUCUUGAGUACAGUAGAGGCAGGCGGAAUUCGUGGUGUAGCGGUGAAAUGCUU